rnacentral:rRNA from 1 species
UAACUGGAGAGUUUGAUUCUGGCUCAGAAUGAACGCUGGCGGCGUGCUUAACACAUGCAAGUCGAACGAGAAAGUUCCUGCUUGCAGGAACGAGUAGAGUGGCGCACGGGUGAGUAACACGUGGAUAAUCUACCUUUGAAUCGGGAAUAACUAUUCGAAAGGGUAGCUAAUACCGGAUGAAGUUUUAUGCCUUUGGGUGUGAAGAUGAAAGGGAGCCUCUGAUAUAAGCUUCUGUUUGAAGAUGAGUCCGCGUACCAUUAGCUAGCUGGUGGGGUAAAGGCCUACCAGGGCGACGAUGGUUAGCUGGUCUGAGAGGAUGAUCAGCCACACUGGAACUGACACACGGUCCAGACUCCUACGGGAGGCAGCAGUGAGGGAUUUUGCGCAAUGGGGGAAACCCUGACGCAGCAACGCCGCGUGAGUGAAGAAGGCCUUUGGGUCGUAAAGCUCUGUCAACAGGGAAGAAGUUACGUAGAUUUAACAGAUUUAUGUAUUGACGGUACUGUGGAGAAGCAUCGGCU